AGAGUUUGAUCCUGGCUCAGGAUGAACGCUGGCGGCGUGCUUAACACAUGCAAGUCGAACGAUGAUGCCCACUUGUGGGUGGAUUAGUGGCGAACGGGUGAGUAACACGUGAGUAACCUGCCCUUGACUCUGGGAUAAGCCUGGGAAACUGGGUCUAAUACCGGAUAUGACCUUCCAUCGCAUGGUGGUUGGUGGAAAGCUUUUGUGGUUUUGGAUGGACUCGCGGCCUAUCAGCUUGUUGGUGGGGUAAUGGCCUACCAAGGCGACGACGGGUAGCCGGCCUGAGAGGGUGACCGGCCACACUGGGACUGAGACACGGCCCAGACUCCUACGGGAGGCAGCAGUGGGGAAUAUUGCACAAUGGGCGCAAGCCUGAUGCAGCGACGCCGCGUGAGGGAUGACGGCCUUCGGGUUGUAAACCUCUUUCAGUAGGGAAGAAGCGAAAGUGACGGUACCUGCAGAAGAAGCGCCGGCUAACUACGUG
rnacentral:rRNA from 1 species